rnacentral:misc_RNA from 1 species
UUGAUUAUUUUGUUGCGACUCGGACUGCCAUGAUAAAAUCAGAGUUGUGUGGGUCUCUGGCGGGCGCUCUCCGGGGGACCCGGCGGGAGCAGGUUUCUCUCGGCCCGCCAAAGCAACAGAGGUAUGUAAACACAGGGUGAAGAGACGGGGAACCUGGGGGUUUAAUUCCGGGCCCACCCGUGGGUCUGACCCCCGUGAGGGGGCCGACCGACUCUUUAAUGAUCCUUCCGCAGGUUCACCUACGGAAA